AGCCAUAAUUCUAGUUCAACUACACCACCAAUCACAAGUCAUAAUAAACUAAAACAUUACCUAACUUUAGUAGAGGCGAUAGAACGAAAAAUAGAAACAAUAGAUUAAGUACCGCAAGGGAACGAUGAAAUAGAAAUGAAAAAACUCAUUAAAGCAUGAAAAAGCAAAGACUCACCCUUGUACCUUUUGCAUCAUGGUCCAACAAGUCAACCCAAGCAAAAAGACUUUCAGCUUGACCCCCCGAAACUAAGCGAGCUACUCCUGGACAGCCCCAAGAGCAAACCCAUCUCUGUGGCAAAAGAGUGGGAAGAUCCAUGAGUAGUGGUGAUAGACCUAACGAGCUUAGUGAUAGCUGGUUGCUCGAGAAAAGAACAUAAAUUCUGCCUUAAAACUUAAACACCAUAAAAGUGUACCCCAGCUUUAAGAGUUAUUCAAACGAGGUACAGCUCAUUUGAAACAGGAAACAACCUAAUACCUAGGUAAAGAUUACACUUUUAAAGGUCUUGACAAAGUUGGCCCAAAAGCAGCCACCUUUUAAGAAAGCGUCACAGCUCAAACAAAUUACCACACUAAUACCUAUAACUUUCUCUGACCCUACCAAACUAUCGAGCCCAUUUAUACCAAUAUAAAAAAGUUUAUGUUAGAACUAGUAACAAGAAACGAACUUCUCUUAAUGCGAGUGUACAUCAGAUUGAACCACUCACUGAUAAUUACCGGCCCAUUACUAGGGGAAAUGUAAAAACUCUUCAAGAAAAUCCCACAUAACUAGCCGUUAAACUUACACAAGAGCAUCUAAAGAAAGAUUAAAAGGUGUGGAAGGAACUCGGCAAAUAAGAACUUCGCCUGUUUACCAAAAACAUCGCCUCUUGCAAUCCACAUAUAAGAGGUAACGCCUGCCCAGUGACCAUGUGUUCAACGGCCGCGGUAUUCUGACCGUGCAAAGGUAGCGUAAUCACUUGUCUUUUAAAUAAAGACUAGUAUGAAUGGCAUCACGAGAGUUCAACUGUCUCCCACACCCAAUCAGUGAAACUGAUCUCCCCGUGCAGAAGCGGGGAUAAAACCAUAAGACGAGAAGACCCCAUGGAGCUUUAAACUAAAGGCACUAGCCCCUAACUCACCCCCCCCCCCCCCAGGGUAAAACAUUUUAACCGGCUAAAGUGACCUGUCGUUUUCGGUUGGGGCGACCACGGAGAAAAACAAAUCCUCCGAGAUGAAGGGGAUAACCCUUAGCCAAGACCAACAAUUCUAAGCAAUAGAACGUCUAACGCACUGAUCCAAUCAAAUUGAUCAACGAACCAAGUUACCCUGGGGAUAACAGCGCAAUCUAUUUUCAGAGUUCAUAUCGACAAAUAGGUUUACGACCUCGAUGUUGGAUCAGGGCCUCCUAGCGGUGCAGCCGCUGCUAAGGGUUCGUUUGUUCAACGAUUAAAGCCCUACGUGAUCUGAGUUCAGACCGGAGUAAUCCAGGUCAGUUUCUAUCUAUGCAAGAAUUUUCCUAGUACGAAAGGACCAGAAAAAUGUGGCCACUACCCCCUCUAUGCCACACUCCAAACUAAUGUAAACAACUUAAUUGAAUAGGAGCUUGCAACCAAGCGCAAGAUUAGCACUU
rnacentral:rRNA from 1 species